UGUGUGUGUGUGUGUGUGUGUGUGUGUGUGUGUGUGUGUGUGUGUGUGUGUGUGUGUGUGUGUGUGUGUGUGUACCUGUCUCAAUCCCAGGUGUGCGGGUGGUGUUGAACAUUCGCUCACACUGGGCGGCACACAGCGGGAUGACCGUACCGGGAACGCGGCUCUGCGGAGAGAGGGAGGUCAACCACACGCUAACUAUGUCCUGCAAAUAAAGAUCAGGCCUCAGCCCAGCGGGUUCGGGGGGGUGGGGUACCUACGUAGUUGGUGGCCCAGAGAGCCUUCAGCUUGAGGUAGCGCUGCAGGCGGUUCCCGAGGCUCGACUCAAACUGAUUGGCCAGCCCCGUCAUCCGUUCGAACCCAGGACCCGUCAGCAACGGCUGCACCGACUCCAGGUACUGAUGGAGAGGGAGAAGGGACAAAAUGCAUUUGAUCUUCCCCAAAACAUUAAAUUAUUGCAAUUAUUAUGAGCUACUUUUCUACUCAUUAAAAAAAAAAUGAAAAAGAA